rnacentral:rRNA from 2 species
UAUACAUGCAGUCGAGCGGACUUUUAAAGCUUGCUUUUGAAAGGUCAGCGGCGGACGGGUGAGUAACACGUGGGCAACCUGCCUGUAAGACUGGGAUAACUUCGGGAAACCGGAGCUAAUACCGGAUAAUAUAAGGAACCUCCUGGUUCUUUAUUGAAAGAUGGUUUCGGCUAUCACUUACAGAUGGGCCCGCGGCGCAUUAGCUAGUUGGUGAGGUAAUGGCUCACCAAGGCGACGAUGCGUAGCCGACCUGAGAGGGUGAUCGGCCACACUGGGACUGAGACACGGCCCAGACUCCUACGGGAGGCAGCAGUAGGGAAUCUUCCACAAUGGACGAAAGUCUGAUGGAGCAACGCCGCGUGAGCGAUGAAGGCCUUCGGGUCGUAAAGCUCUGUUGUUAGGGAAGAACAAGUGCGAGAGUAACUGCUCGCACCUUGACGGUACCUAACCAGAAAGCCACGGCUAACUACGUGCCAGCAGCCGCGGUAAUACGUAGGUGGCAAGCGUUGUCCGGAAUUAUUGGGCGUAAAGCGCGCGCAGGUGGUCCUUUAAGUCUGAUGUGAAAGCCCACGGCUCAACCGUGGAGGGUCAUUGGAAA